UGUUUACCUGUAAAAUGUUGAGUGUUCAAUCUCUUGGAGCGUAGACUUGUCGAAAACCGUUGUAUAAUUGGAGUUUUAAUUUAAUAUCCUCCAAUUCUUGGAUGACAAACUCCUAAUUGAAACCCACGUGUUGGACGUAUCUUCCACAGGUAUUUAUCCAGAAAGUACAAAAUCGAAGCACAGUUGAUUGAAACAAUUUAAGUAAUGCUACUCGAUUGAAACAAUUUAAGAUGUAGGUGGGGUUUUGGAGGCAAAAUUGUCACCAACCAGUUGAACAAAAACAUAACUAUUAUGUUUGUAUGAAGUUAUGUUAUGCAGUGACUCUGAUGAAAUUUCCCUAUAAAUAAGGGUGAAUCUACUAAUGUAUUUUUAGUAGAUUCACUACAUAACACU